rnacentral:tRNA from 2 species
CAGAGAAUAGUUUAAUUUAGAAUGCCAGCUUUGGGAGUUGGAGGUGGAGGUUUAAAUCCUCUUUCUUUGA